AUUGAACGCUGGCGGCAGGCCUAACACAUGCAAGUCGAACGAGUGGCGGACGGGUGAGUACUGUCUGGGAAUCUGCCUUAUGGAGGGGGAUAACUUCUGGAAACGGUAGCUAAUACCGCAUACCCUCAGAUGUGCCCCGAUGGGAUUAGCUUGUUGGUGGGGUAACGGCCCACAAAGGCGACGAUCCCUAGCUGGUCUGAGAGGAUGACCGGCCACAAUGGAACUGAGACACGGUCCAGAGUCCUACGGGAGGCAGCAGUGGGGAAUAUUGGACAAUGGGCGCAAGCCUGAUGCAGCCAUGCCGCGUGUAUGAAGAAGGCCUUCGGGUUGUAAAGUACUUUCAGCGGGGAGGCGUUACCCGAAGAAGAAGCACAGGCGAACUCCGUGCCAGCAGCCGCGGUAAUAC
rnacentral:rRNA from 1 species